CCCUUAGAUGUUCUGGGCCGCACGCGCGCUACACUGAUGCAUUCAACGAGCCUAGCCUUGACCGAGAGGUCCGGGUAAUCUUUGAAACUGCAUCGUGAUGGGGCUAGAUUAUUGCAAUUAUUAAUCUUCAACGAGGAAUGCCUAGUAAGCGUGAUUCAUCAAAUCGCGUUGAUUACGUCCCUGCCCUUUGUACACACCGCCCGUCGCUCCUACCGAUUGAGUGUGUUGGUGAGGAGUUUGGAUUGGCCUCGGAAGGUGGUUCGCCACCGUCCGUAGCUGAGAAGUUCUCCAAACCGCCCCACUUAGAGGAAGGAGAAGUCGUAGCA
rnacentral:rRNA from 1 species